UACAGAGGGUGCAAGCGUUAAUCGGAAUUACUGGGCGUAAAGCGCACGCAGGCGGUUGGUUAAGUCAGAUGUGAAAGCCCCGGGCUCAACCUGGGAAUUGCAUUUGAAACUGGCCAACUAGAGUACGUGAGAGGGGGGUAGAAUUCCAAGUGUAGCGGUGAAGUGCGUAGAGAUUUGGAGGAAUACCAGUGGCGAAGGCGGCCCCCUGGCACGAUACUGACGCUCAGGUGCGAAAGCGUGGGGAGCAAACAGG
rnacentral:rRNA from 1 species